UAGUUGUUAGUGUUAGUGUUAGUUGUUAGUUUAAUGACAAGGAAAGUAAAUUAUUUUCCAUUUUGGGCAAUUUGUGGAGUUUCUCCUUUUUUUUUUUUUUUUUAGAUAGAAAAUUGCGCGACACUGUGCUACUACUAUGUGAAAUUAAAGAUGCCGCCAACAAAAUUCAAUUUAUCCAAAAAAUCCAAAAUUAUCGAUUUUGGAACCACCCUCGUAUCUCCGUUGUCUUUUAAGAGUUUAAAACCGCUGUUAUAGGAAUUUUUCUGUAGACUCCAGUGGCGGUAUAUUUUUGCAAAACAACACAAAUGAUGAGCGUCAGAAUUGACAAACGUCAAAACAUCCCAUGAUGAUUUAGAAAAUGCCUUGGCGACGUAUAGGAGCGGUAACAGCAAAUGGCAUAAUUAAAAAAAUGGCUAUGGAAGAAUGCCUGUUUGCUUUAACAGUAACAGACGUUCGAAAACUAGCGUUUGAAAUAGCGUCUAGACAUAGCAUCCUUAAUAAUUUUAAUCAAGAAAAAAGGACGGCUGGAAAGAAAUGAUAUUAUUCCCUCAUGGCGACGCAUGAAGAUAUUCAAUGUUGAUGAAACUGGGUGCUCGACGGUACAAAGGAAAUGUCAGAGAGUGUCUGCCCUCAACAGACGGUAUGAUAAGGUGCUUGCAACUGGCGCUCCUCCAGGCAGCUUUAUCACUUAAGGGACACUGGGUACAUUACUUCAGAUUUGUUUGUUUCUUGGCUUCACCAUUUUAUACGCUGUGUCAAACCUAGUCGCGAGCAUCCAGUUUUAUUGCUUCUUGCUGGACACAGCACCCACAGCAAAAACCUCGAGGCACUAAAAAUUGCACGUGCUAAUGGAAUAAAACAACUCCAACUACCUAGCCACACAACUCAUCGUUUACAACCUCUCGGUGUGGGAUUUUUCAGAUCUUUUCCGAAGAACUACAGUCAGUGUAUCGAACAGUGGCUUAGAAGUAACGUGAGCUGCACUGUAAGCAUGUUUCAGGUGAGCGCCUUAAUAGGAGAAGCCUAUGGAUUAGCAGCAACUGUAAGAAAGUCUGUUGACGCUUUUCGGGGGCAAACGUUUAACGUUAACUCAUCGGUUAAAGCUGAUUCAUCUAGUGAAAACGAUAAUCCACUCGCUCUUCUGAAGAAACGGACAAGAACAACGGAAGUCUCUAAUUCUUCUUUAGAUGUUUCCAACUUGGAAAUUUUUCCUUUGCCACUAAGCAAAGAAAUAAUUUCUAAAAGAGUGGCAAGAAAGCAAGUAGCAUUAACCAGUUCUCCCUACAAAAACGAUUUAGAAGAAUAAAGAGCGGGCCUAUCAAAAACCAAAACGACAUUCAAGCGAAACUUAGGAUUGACAGGACAAAGAGACAUGAUUCGCUUUCUAAAAUGUAAAGUGUGGCAUCAUGCCAAAUGUGCAAAACGUCUCUCAGAAAGUGAAAAAACAUGUUUGUACUAACUGCGUUUAAAGUUAAAAGUGUUUUUAAAUAACGUUAAAAAUAUUUAAUGUGAUUAUAUUCCAUAUCUCUUGUAUUUUUUUAAGUUUUUUAUA